UUCCCUUUCACGUCUUUCUUCCUCUCCUCUCACCCAGAAAUUCAAGUUUUCCUCUCUUCAAGUUUCUUUUCUCUUCUUGAAUAUUAGGAACAUGGAUCAAAAUUUAUCAGAUUCAUCUUCAGAUGCUGCAAGUGAGGAAUUUUGGGAUCUUGCCAAUUCAUCAUCAGACGAAGAAUUGAUGAAUCUGGAGAUUGCUGCUCUACAAGAGAAGGGAAGAAGAAGACGCCGGGGCUCAAUUCCUGGUCGCAUAUAUAAAGAUAGACAACGAUUGCAAGGCUGAGAUAGAAAAGGUUAAGAAGAGAAGGGAGGAAAGAGCACUUGAAAAAGCUCAACAUGAGGAAGAAAUGGCACUGCUUGCCAGAGAACGCGCUCGGGCUGAGUUCCAAGACUGGGAGAAAAAAGAAGAAGAAGAGUUCCACUUUGAUCAAAGCAAAAUGAGGUCAGAGAUCAGAUUGCUUGAAGGGCGUAUCAAGCCAAUUGAUGUACUUUCCAAGCAUCUUGAUGGCUCAGAUGUUUAUUAUCUAUGCUGAAAUUGAAGCUUUACUGACCUUCAAGAGCAGAUUGGAAAAUAUCCGUGUCUCAAACAAUGGACAUUUCAGUAGUAUAUUAUAAACUGAAGGACCCUUGUCAACUUAGCACCAUUUGCUCCAAGAGUUUUCAUGUCACAAUCUGUCCUGGUCUUAAUGAUGUCAUCAGACAGAUGGCAGAAGAGAAUGAUAAAGAACCGGGAAUCUGCUGCUCGUUCACGUGCAAGGAAGCAGGCUUAUACAAACGAACUGGAGAACAAAGUUUCACGUCUGGAGGAGGAAAAUGAAAGGCUAAGGAAGCAAAAGACGCAUUGUUGGGAAUUAAGGAUUUAUUCCUUAAGCAUCCAGAAGAGAUGAACCACUAUCAGUUAAGUUACAGUUCAAUUUGCUGUCAUGUUGCAUUGUGGUCAGACAUUCUGUACCUACAUGUACGUUUGCAAAGCAUAAUUAGCUAUAAUCAGCCACACUCAUCGUACCGCCAGAGAUACCAACUACCGUCAAAGGAGUAACCCACAGAUAGGCAGCCAGGCGGGCCACGGCCUGAGCACAAGAGUUCCCCGGGAUCACCGCUGACGCGCCGCCACGCACUCUGCCAAGACGGCAUCAGAAGCUACUGAAACUGGGAACUGAAGCACAUCAGUCCCACAUCGAAAACAAAGAGAAGAUCAAACUUCUCCUCACCUAUAAAAGGUCCUCUCUUCUCUCUUCAUUAAUUAUGCAUUAACUACUCAUUUUAUUAUUAUGCUGCCUAUAUAUCAACUGACUUAGGCAUCGGAGAAGUGAAGACCGCCCAACGCGGUCUCCCUCUGACGCCUUGUCUUUCAUUUAGCAGCCAGCAAGAAUCACCAAGUAUAGAGUAGCGGUCCGCCCGCCGGACCCGCGUUAAACGAAGGUUUGGCUACCGCCAGACUUUGAGCAUUAACACAUUCAAUGCUGGUGAGCUUGGUGAAGACAGAAUAGACUGGAGAACAAAGUUUCACGUCAUGAAAGCCUUCUAGAUUUUUUUGUUUGGAUCAGUUCGUUGGUUUCCAGCGAUGCACUUGAUGUUUAUGUUGAAAAGCUGUUUAUGUUUCGAUUAUAUGU